rnacentral:lncRNA from 1 species
UUCAAGGGAGCUGAUGGCACGAACUACAUUGUGUUGAGAGUGUCUGAUGUGAUGGCCGAGCUCUCUUAAGUGUGCGGUUUAUUACUUUGUUUCAGUUUUGAGUUCACGAUAGAGGCUAGCAUGAGUGGUAAGAUUGCUAUGUGAUAACCACUUGAUGCUGUUUCGGAUAAUUAUAGAAUUGUAUGAGCAAACCUGUUGUCCGGGUUAAAAACAUUUACCGAAUUUCUUUACAAAGAGAGCUUGAUGCUGGUUUCCCCCUACUUCUGCAUUAUGUAUGUACAUUACUGCUUGGCUGAUUGCCUAUUGUUGUGGCACUAUCUAUGUGAAAGGGUCCUAGACAUCUAUCUUCCUGUGAGUGGGCUAAACAUUAAGCAAACCUGGAGGAUGUGGCUUAUCAGAAUGAUUGCUCAUUCUUCAGUGUUGAAUCUAGGCUGCUGGUUGCUCAGGAUGGUAGGAGAAUUUGCUGUAUAGGACAAAGGGGUCAGUAGCAGGUGUUGUUUAGUGGAGAGAUGAGGCAAUCUGUGACCUUUCGUCUGCUGCGGAGUAAGAGCGCAGCAGAGGAUGAUGCGUCUGAGGGGAGUAAAGAUGUGCAGUCCCCGUGACCUUGCCGCCAAAGAGUGCAUGUUGUAAUUCCAGCUAUUCAUAGAUAGUUCCUGGUGCCUUGUAUGCCUAUGCUAUCAAAUUCAAAUCCCCAGUGAACAGAGAAGCAACAAAUAAGACACUAGAUGUGAUUCAAAUCCCUAUGGAGAACAGAGAAGCCUUACUCCUUAUAAAAGAAUUGUGUGGCAGACUUGUUCCUUAUAAAGAGUUGCACGGUAGACAGUGGCCUGAACUCACCGGUCCUCUGGUAGGUCAAUGGCUAACAACCCUUUGGUUAUGAACUGGGUCCUCUGGUUGGUCGGUUGCUGUGAGCUUUAUAAAUCUUUUAUAAACAAAAUAAUGAAUGUCCUUACCCUUUUCCUUUUCCAAAAGGAUUAAUUUUGUUAAUCUGCUAACCUCUACUUAAGAUGGCGCACCUAUUUAUUUAUUACAAAUUUCACAAAAAAUAUAUCCAACAUUCUAUCGUCAAAGAAAAAACACCAGAUCAAGUAGAACCAACAUCUCAUAGAAACAAUCAUGUGGCGAUCACAAUGAUGCUAAUCUAGGAGUCACAUGAAGUACCCACUUAAAUUUAGUGGACCGGCUAGUUUGCACCAGAGGUGAAUGUUAUGCUAAUACUUCAAAAUACCCCUUUUUUAUGUAGACCUGAUCUCAAGUUGUAUAUUCAAAGUAUGUUGUGACUGAAGUUGAAUACAACAACUCCAAGCAUCUCAUUAUGAAAGAGGAUGACAUCAUUGGUAUUCUUGAAUCUGAUGAUGUCAAAGACAUGAAGCCUCUCAAUGACUGAGUUCUAAUCAAGGUAUUUAUAUCGAAUGUCAUGUCACUAAUCAGUAGCGUAUAUUUAAAUAAUUUCCAGUCAAUCUUGUAUUGGUUGUAUCUGCAUAAUGGUUAACAGUCCUAUCUGUCUUACAUUUGUGCUAGGUUGCCGAGGUUUCAGAUAAGGCCGAAGCUGGCCUUAUCCUCACCGAGACAACCAAGGAAAAGCCAUCCAUUCGAACAGUAAGUUAUUGCCAUUGGUUAAGAGUCUGCACUUUUUUUUCGACAAAGAAGAGUCUGCACUUAACUGGUACUCCCUCCGUUCGGAAUUACUUGUCACAGAAAUGGAUGUAUCUAGAUGUAUUUUAGUUCUAGAUACAUCCAUUUCCGAGACAAGUAAUUCCGAACGGAGGGAGUAGGUGUUAAACUAAUUCACCUCUUAAUGCAGGUUGUAGCUGUUGGUCCGGGCUCUCUCGACGAGGAAGGCAAGAGGUAGCCAUUGUCGUUGUCACCAGGUAGCACCGUGUUGUACUCCAAGUAUGCAGGCGGUGAGUUCAAGGGAGCUGAUGGCACGAACUACAUUGUGUUGAAAGUGUCUUAUGUGAUGGCUGAGCUCUCUUAAGUAUGCGGUUUAUUACUUUGUUUUAGUUUUGAGUUCACGAUAGAGGCAAGCAUGAGUGGUAAGAUUGCUAUGUGAUAACCACUUGAUGCUGUUUCGGAUGAUUAUAGAAUUGUACUCCCUCCGUCCGAAAAUACUUGUCAUCAAAAUGAAUAGAAGGGGAUGUAUCUAGAUGUAUAUUAGUUCUAGAUACAUCCCUUUUUAUCCAUUUUGAUGACAAGUAUUUUCGGACGGAGGGAGUAUGAGCAAACCUGUUGUCUGGGUUAAAAACAUUUACUGAAUUUGUUUACAAAGGGAGCUUUAUGCCUGUUUUCUCGUGCUUGGCUGAUUGCCUAUUGUUGUGGCACUAUCUAUGUGAAAGGGCCUAGACAUCUAUCUACCUGUGAGUGGGCUAAACAAUAAGCAAAGCUGGAGGAUUUGCCUUAUCAGAAUGAUUGCUCAUUCUUCAAUGUUGCUUCUUCGAACCAUCUAGCGACUAUGCA